ensembl:lncRNA
AGUACAGUUAGCAACAUACAUACAGAAAGAGAGACAGCACUUCCUUUGAUCUGUCUUUCAAUUGAUGAAAUCUUUUCAAAGAAUCAUAGAAUCACAGACUAUCCUGAGAUGCAAAGGACCCACAAGAAGGGUACUGAGUAUCGUGUAUCACGCAUGCUGCAACAUCUGACCCACAGAUCACAUCUAACAUCAGGAGUCCUCAAAAUAAGUAACGCUAUUAAAUUAGUAUUAUUUAUUUUCAACAUCAGCUUCAUGGUUCCACUAG